rnacentral:pre_miRNA from 1 species
UACAUACUCCCUCCGUCCGGAAAUACUUGUCCUAAAAAUGCAUAUAAUGGAUGUAUCUAUAAUUAAAAUAAGUCUAGGUACAUUCAUCUUUAGGAAAAGUAUUUCCGGACGGAGGUAGUAGAUC